ACACACAUUCUGAAGAGAAUAUCUAAUGAUAAAAGAAAUGAAAGAAGAAACUACUCAAAGACUUCAGCUGUAGGAUGUUUGUUUUCCUUCUAAUUGAGAAUGAAGAGAAUUGAUUUUGAAGAAUUUUAGACGAGGCAGUGAAAAAUUAUUUAUAAUGGACAAUUCUUUUGAUGAGAAAUCAAGCUUCAAGUCAAUCUCAAGACGGAUGUUUGUGGAAAGUUCUACCAUUUUAGCCCAAAAUUAAAAAUUGGAUUGUUCUUUUACCGAGUACUCAAUCUUCAAGGACAAAAAAAAGUGAGAAUUAACAGAAAUGAAA